rnacentral:rRNA from 1 species
AGUGAACGCUGGCGGUAGGCCUAACACAUGCAAGUCGAACGGCAGCACAGUAAGAGCUUGCUCUUACGGGUGGCGAGUGGCGGACGGGUGAGGAAUACAUCGGAAUCUACUUUUUCGUGGGGGAUAACGUAGGGAAACUUACGCUAAUACCGCAUCCGACCUACGGGUGAAAGCAGGGGAUCUUCGGACCUUGCGCGAUUGAAUGAGCCGAUGUCGGAGUAGCUAGUUGGCGGGGUAAAGGCCCACGAAGGCGGCGAUCGGUAGCUGGUGUGAGAGGAUGAUCGGCCACAUUGGAAGUGAGACACGGUCCAGACUCCUGAGAGAGGCAGCAGUGGCGUAUGGUGGACAGUGGGCGCGAGUCUGGUCCAGCGAGAGCGCGUCGGAGAAGAAGACGUUCGGGUCGUGAAGCCGGUUUGUUGGGAGAGAAAAGCAUCAGGUUAUUACGCCGCUGGUCUGACGGUACCCAAAGAAGAAGCACCGGCUAACUUCGUG